AGAGUUUGAUCCUGGCUCAGAUUGAACGCUGGCGGCAGGCCUAACACAUGCAAGUCGAGCGGAAACGAGUUAUCUGAACCUUCGGGGAACGAUAACGGCGUCGAGCGGCGGACGGGUGAGUAAUGCCUAGGAAAUUGCCCUGAUGUGGGGGAUAACCAUUGGAAACGAUGGCUAAUACCGCAUGAUGCCUACGGGCCAAAGAGGGGGACCUUCGGGCCUCUCGCGUCAGGAUAUGCCUAGGUGGGAUUAGCUAGUUGGUGAGGUAAGGGCUCACCAAGGCGACGAUCCCUAGCUGGUCUGAGAGGAUGAUCAGCCACACUGGAACUGAGACACGGUCCAGACUCCUACGGGAGGCAGCAGUGGGGAAUAUUGCACAAUGGGCGCAAGCCUGAUGCAGCCAUGCCGCGUGUGUGAAGAAGGCCUUCGGGUUGUAAAGCACUUUCAGUCGUGAGGAAGGUAGUGUAGUUAAUAGCUGCAUUAUUUGACGUUAGCGACAGAAGAAGCACCGGCUAACUCCGUGCCAGCAGCCGCGGUAAUACGGAGGGUGCGAGCGUUAAUCGGAAUUACUGGGCGUAAAGCGCAUGCAGGUGGUUUGUUAAGUCAGAUGUGAAAGCCCGGGGCUCAACCUCGGAAUAGCAUUUGAAACUGGCAGACUAGAGUACUGUAGAGGGGGGUAGAAUUUCAGGUGUAGCGGUGAAAUGCGUAGAGAUCUGAAGGAAUACCGGUGGCGAAGGCGGCCCCCUGGACAGAUACUGACACUCAGAUGCGAAAGCGUGGGGAGCAAACAGGAUUAGAUACCCUGGUAGUCCACGCCGUAAACGAUGUCUACUUGGAGGUUGUGGCCUUGAGCCGUGGCUUUCGGAGCUAACGCGUUAAGUAGACCGCCUGGGGAGUACGGUCGCAAGAUUAAAACUCAAAUGAAUUGACGGGGGCCCGCACAAGCGGUGGAGCAUGUGGUUUAAUUCGAUGCAACGCGAAGAACCUUACCUACUCUUGACAUCCAGAGAACUUUCCAGAGAUGGAUUGGUGCCUUCGGGAACUCUGAGACAGGUGCUGCAUGGCUGUCGUCAGCUCGUGUUGUGAAAUGUUGGGUUAAGUCCCGCAACGAGCGCAACCCUUAUCCUUGUUUGCCAGCGAGUAAUGUCGGGAACUCCAGGGAGACUGCCGGUGAUAAACCGGAGGAAGGUGGGGACGACGUCAAGUCAUCAUGGCCCUUACGAGUAGGGCUACACACGUGCUACAAUGGCGCAUACAGAGGGCGGCCAACUUGCGAAAGUGAGCGAAUCCCAAAAAGUGCGUCGUAGUCCGGAUUGGAGUCUGCAACUCGACUCCAUGAAGUCGGAAUCGCUAGUAAUCGUGGAUCAGAAUGCCACGGUGAAUACGUUCCCGGGCCUUGUACACACCGCCCGUCACACCAUGGGAGUGGGCUGCAAAAGAAGUAGGUAGUUUAACCUUCGGGGGGACGCUUACCACUUUGUGGUUCAUGACUGGGGUGAAGUCGUAACAAGGUAGCC
rnacentral:rRNA from 2 species